rnacentral:rRNA from 1 species
AUACGUAGGGGGCAAGCGUUGUCCGGAUUCACUGGGCGUAAGGCGCGCGCAGGCGGUGAUGUAAGUCUGAGGUGAAAACCCGAAGCUCAACUUCGGGACUGCCUUGGGUACUGCGUCACUUGAGGAUAGGAGAGCAAGGGGAAUUCCACGUGCAGCGGUGAAAUGCGUAGAGAUGUGGAGGAACACCUGUGGCGAAGGCGCCUUGCUGGCCUAUUUCUGACGCUGAGGCGACGAAAGCGGUGGGGAGC